GUAGCAUCCCUCAAAACAUAGGCAAUUGCACCGCCUUCCAGGUCUUGCAUGUAUACCAUCUAAUGCAAUUGCGACAAAUUCUGGAUAAACGCUACUAUGUCUAGUCCAAGAAUGUUUAAUCACUUUUGAUUGGUAGGGACUUGUCUUACAAUCAGCUGACUGGAGAGAUUCCUUUUAAUAUUGGGUUCUUGCAAGUCGCUACAUUAUCUUUGCAAGGUAAUCAACUCUCAGGAAAAAUCUCAUCGGUGAUUGGCUUGAUGCAGGCACUUGCUGUGUUGUAAGUGCUUUGUAAAUUCUUUCAAUUCUAGGAAAUUUGACCUAUCCCUCCUAUUCUAGGAAAUUUGACCUGCACGGAGAAAUUGUGAGUAUUUGCUUUGUAAUUCUUUCAAUUUUCUUCAUUUUCUUGAUCGAUUUGCAUUUCAAAGAUGCAUACGUCAUUUUGAAAAUAGCUGAUAGUCUUUUGCUACAUAUGACAAACUGCUGAACUGUCGUUAAACUUCCAUUCAUCAAUUUAUAUUUGUAUUAAUUUAAUGUGAACAACAAACAACAUCAUUACAUUACAUGAUACUUAAAAUGUAUAUUCUACUCCGUGAUCUAAUUGUCAACUUUCUAAUUCCGAUAUCGGAUGUUGUAGGUAUUUGCAUGGUAACAAGCUGACUGGGCCCAUUCCCCCAAAGCUCGGAAAUAUGACAAAAAUCCACUAUCUGAUGGACAAGAUGCUAAAGAUCUAAAGCAAAGCACUGCUGAUAUGACAGUUUUUGUAAGUCGCGUGAUAUGUGGUCCUCUCGAUAAGAAUUUUUGUAACUAUGUGGCUUUCAUCUUGCCAUGGCUCUUGAUCUAACUGUGGAUCUGAGUGCCGCUAGUGCUGCUGCUGAAGAAUGAAUGAAUGAAUGAACUUUUUGGGUCACACAUCCAUCCCACAAGAACAGAGAGAAUAGAGUUCAAAAGAACAUUCCCUUUCCAUGAUGAAAUUCUUUUGAAUGCAAAUGAUAGCAGUCCUUAAAAACACAUUCUGCACUUUCUCCACAAAAGACUUUUAUUUAUCAUUCAAUAUUACAAGAAGAGAUUCUUUUUUCUGGAUUAUACAUUGGAUUAUUCAAGUAUGGCUAAACUUUUCUAAGGGAGUAGCAACGGUCAAGAAAAAAACUAGAGGUACAGAAGAUGCAUUUGGCCAUUGUUUGUUCCACACACAAUAUGCUUUUGUCACUUUAAUUUUCAUCCUCCCUUCUUUGUGAUUGGCUAUAUGAAUGCAUUUUUUCUGUUUUUACUAUAUGUGUUCAGCAUCUGAGAAUGCUUUCAAAGGAAUUCUGACCAGUCUUCCCAAGGCAGGAGGUGGUGAGUUUGGAAAGUUCUAUAGCAUACCAGCACUGAAUGAUCCAAGGAUUGAAGACCUUGGGAGGAAAGAUUGAAGAGUGCACAUGAGCAAGGAACACUUGUCCACCUUUCAAAUUUGGAUCCAGAAUAUACUUCAGGAGAAGCGGAGAUACAAUAUGGAUCAAUUGGCUGGGCUGUAGGUGUGACUCUUGGAUAUGCACUGACUGCACAGAAUAAGCGAGUGAUUGCUUCCAUUGGUGAUGGUAGCUUCCACGUGA